rnacentral:rRNA from 1 species
AUUGAACGCUGGCGGCAGGCCUAACACAUGCAAGUCGAACGGUAACAGGAAGCAGCUUGCUGCUUUGCUGACGAGUGGCGGACGGGUGAGUAAUGUCUGGGAAACUGCCCGAUGGAGGGGGAUAACUACUGGAAACGGUAGCUAAUACCGCAUAACGUCGCAAGACCAAAGAGGGGGACCUUAGGGCCUCUUGCCAUCGGAUGUGCCCAGAUGGGAUUAGCUAGUAGGUGGGGUAACGGCUCACCUAGGCGACGAUCCUAGCUGGUCUGAGAGGAUGACCAGCCACACUGGAACUGAGACACGGUCCAGACUCCUACGGGAGGCAGCAGUGGGGAAUAUUGCACAAUGGGCGCAAGCCUGAUGCAGCCAUGCCGCGUGUAUGAAGAAGGCCUUCGGGUUGUAAAGUACUUUCAGCGGGGAGGAAGGGAGUAAAGUUAAUACCUUUGCUCAUUGACGUUACCCGCAGAAGAAGCACCGGCUAACUCCGUG